CAGUAGCCGCGGUAAUACGAAGGGUGCAAGCGUUAAUCGGAAUUACUGGGCGUAAAGCGUGCGUAGGCGGUGAGUUAAGUCUGCUGUGAAAUCCCCGGGCUCAACCUGGGAAUGGCAGUGGAUACUGGCUCGCUAGAGUGUGUCAGAGGAUGGUGGAAUUCCCGGUGUAGCGGUGAAAUGCGUAGAGAUCGGGAGGAACAUCAGUGGCGAAGGCGGCCAUCUGGGACAACACUGACGCUGAGGCACGAAAGCGUGGGGAGCAAACAGGAUUAGAUACCCCGUAGUCCCUGUCUCUUAUACC
rnacentral:rRNA from 1 species